rnacentral:tRNA from 3 species
GGGGCUGUAGCUCAGUUGGGAGAGCGCCACAAUCGCACUGUGGAGGCCGGGGGUUCGAGUCCCCCCAGCUCCACCA